UCCCGGCGGGCUGCGCGGCUGGGCGGUUGUCGCGGGCAGCGGCGGCGGUUCCGGCUGCGGUGCUGCGGGCGGAUGAGCUGCUAGGUGAGCAGGCCGGGCGGGAUGCGGAGCCGCCGCCGCGCCCCCAGCGCCUAAGAAAGCGCUGCCGGGUCAGGCCGUGCUGCCAGCUGUGUGCCGCCGUCGGAGCCUACAGCUCGUAUUGAACGCGGGCCGAGCCGAGCGCCGACCCCGGCCACAGUCCGGGACCCGGCUGCCCGCCCCACCCCCGCGCGCGCCGCUCCGCCCGCGCUCGGCGCUCAUGCGGGCCGAGCCCCGCCCCCCGGCCCGAGCCCGCCGAGCGCCUCCCGAGCCCGCGCUCACUGCCCGCCCGCAUCAUGCUGAAGUGCAUCCCGCUCUGGCGUUGUAACCGGCACGUGGAGUCGGUGGAUAAGCGGCACUGCUCGCUGCAGGUUGUGCCAGAGGAGAUUUACCGCUACAGUCGUAGCCUCGAGGAGCUGCUCCUCGACGCCAACCAGCUGCGCGAGCUACCUAAGCCCUUCUUCCGACUGUUGAACUUGAGAAAGUUGGGCCUCAGUGACAACGAGAUCCAGCGGCUGCCUCCUGAAGUGGCCAACUUCAUGCAGCUGGUGGAGCUAGAUGUGUCCCGGAACGAUAUUCCUGAGAUACCUGAGAGCAUAAAGUUCUGUAAGGCUCUGGAGAUUGCAGACUUCAGUGGGAACCCCCUGUCUAGACUUCCGGAUGGCUUCACACAGCUACGCAGCCUGGCUCACCUGGCCCUGAAUGACGUGUCCCUGCAGGCACUGCCUGGAGAUGUGGGCAACCUGGCCAAUCUGGUGACCCUGGAACUCCGGGAGAACCUGCUUAAAUCUCUCCCUGCGUCCCUGUCUUUCCUGGUGAAGCUGGAACAGCUGGAUCUGGGAGGCAACGACCUGGAAGUGCUGCCUGACACCCUGGGGGCUCUGCCUAACCUUCGGGAGCUAUGGUUAGACCGAAACCAACUGUCAGCGCUGCCCCCGGAGCUAGGCAAUCUGCGGCGGCUGGUGUGCCUGGAUGUGUCAGAGAACAGGCUGGAGGAGCUGCCUGUGGAGUUGGGUGGGCUGGCACUGCUCACGGAUCUGCUGCUUUCCCAGAACUUGCUUCAGCGGCUGCCAGAGGGCAUCGGUCAGCUGAAGCAGCUGUCUAUCCUGAAGGUGGACCAGAACCGGCUGUGUGAGGUCACUGAGGCCAUAGGGGACUGUGAGAACCUCUCGGAGCUGAUCCUCACGGAGAACCUGUUAACGGCCUUACCCCACUCGCUGGGCAAGCUGACCAAGCUGACUAACCUCAAUGUGGACCGGAACCAUCUUGAGGUGCUGCCUCCUGAAAUCGGAGGCUGUGUGGCCCUUAGUGUCCUCUCUUUGAGAGACAAUCGCCUGGCUGUCCUCCCUCCUGAGCUUGCCCAUACCGCUGAGCUGCACGUGCUUGAUGUGGCUGGGAACCGGCUGCGGAGUCUGCCGUUUGCGCUCACCCACCUCAACCUCAAGGCACUGUGGCUGGCCGAGAACCAGGCACAGCCCAUGCUCCGCUUCCAGACUGAGGAUGAUGCCCAGACGGGUGAAAAGGUGCUCACCUGCUACCUGCUGCCCCAGCAGCCCCUGCCAAGUCUCGAAGACGCUGGACAGCAGAGCAGUCCCUCAGAGAGCUGUAGUGAUGCCCCUCUGAGCCGUGUCAGUGUCAUCCAGUUCGAGGACACCCUGGAAGGUGAAGAGGAUGCUGAGGAAGCUGCGGCCGAGAAGCGGGGCCUACAGCGUAGGGCCACACCUCAUCCCAGUGAGCUCAAGGUGAUGAAGAGGGGCAUUGAAGAGCGCCGGAAUGAGGCCUUCGUCUGCAAGCCUGACCCCAGCCCACCCUCGCCUUCAGAGGAGGAGAAGAGGCUGAGUGCAGAGUCUGCCUUGAGUGGAGGCUCUGUCCCGUCAGCAAGCACAGCCUCGGAAGGUGAGCCUGAGAUCCUGCCGGCUGAGGUACAAGGGCUAGGCCAGCAUGAGGCCAUGCCUGCACAGGAGGAGUAUACAGAAGACGACUAUAACGAGCCCACAGUGCACUUUGCAGAGGACACACUGAUCCCUAGGGAAGACGGUGAAAGUGAAGAGGGACAGCCUGAGGCUGCCUGGCCGCUGCCUAGUGGCCGGCAGAGGCUCAUCCGCAAAGACACGCCCCACUACAAGAAGCACUUCAAGAUCUCCAAGCUCCCACAGCCUGAAGCUGUCGUGGCCCUGCUGCAAGGGGUGCAGACCGACAGGGAGGGCCCCACUGCAGGUUGGCACAAUGGCCCACACACACCUUGGGCUCCUCGAGCCCAUGAGGAGGAAGAGGAGGAGGAGGAGGAGAACAGGGAUGAGGAGGAAGGCGAGGCCACCACGGAAGAAGAUGACAAAGAAGAGGCUGUGGCUUCUGCUCCCUCUGUCAAGGGGGUGUCGUUUGACCAGGCCAAUAACCUGCUGAUAGAGCCUGCUCGCAUUGAGGAGGAAGAGUUAACACUCACGAUCGUGCGGCAGACGGGGGGCCUGGGCAUCAGUAUCGCAGGGGGAAAAGGCUCUACCCCCUACAAAGGAGAUGACGAGGGCAUUUUCAUCUCUCGAGUGUCUGAAGAGGGCCCUGCAGCCCGUGCUGGAGUCCGAGUUGGUGACAAACUUCUUGAGGUGAAUGGUGUAGCCUUGCAGGACGCAGAGCACCACGAGGCCGUGGAAGCACUUCGGGGGGCAGGUGCUGCUGUGCAGAUGCGAGUGUGGAGGGAAAGAAUGGUGGAGCCGGAGAACGCAGUCACUAUUACCCCCUUACGCCCUGAAGAUGACUAUAGUCCCCGAGAGUGGCGGGGAGGUGGCCUGCGCCUUCCCCUGCUCCAGCCUGAGACUCCUGUAUCCCUCCGUCAGCGUCAUGCUGCCUGUCUCGUGCGCAGUGAAAAGGGGCUGGGCUUCAGCAUUGCUGGUGGAAAGGGCUCCACACCUUACCGGGCUGGUGAUGGGGGCAUCUUUAUAUCCCGCAUUGCAGAGGGAGGGGCUGCUCACCGGGCAGGCACUCUACAGGUUGGCGACCGUGUCCUCUCGAUCAAUGGAGUGGACAUGACUGAGGCCAGGCACGACCAUGCUGUCUCCCUGCUGACUGCUGCUUCCCCUACCAUCUCCCUGCUUCUGGAGAGGGAGACUGGAGGGACUUACCCACCUAGCCCUCCCCCCCAUUCCUCCCCAACCCCUGCUGCUACUGUUGCUGCUACCGUGAGCACUGCUGUCCCCGGAGAACCUCUGCUACCUAGGCUGUCCCCUAGCCUCUUGGCCACUGCCUUGGAAGGACCAUACCCUGUGGAGGAAAUCUGCCUGCCCAGGGCUGGUGGCCCAUUGGGGCUUAGCAUUGUAGGAGGUUCUGAUCACUCCAGCCACCCGUUUGGUGUCCAAGAUCCUGGUGUAUUCAUCUCCAAGGUGCUUCCUCGGGGCCUAGCUGCUCGCUGUGGCCUUCGGGUUGGGGACCGCAUCCUAGCAGUGAAUGGGCAGGAUGUUCGGGAGGCCACACAUCAAGAGGCAGUCAGUGCCCUGCUCAGGCCCUGCCUGGAGCUGUGUCUGCUUGUGCGGAGGGACCCACCACCCCCGGGCAUGCGGGAACUCUGCAUCCAGAAAGCCCCUGGGGAGAAGCUGGGUAUCAGCAUCCGCGGAGGUGCCAAGGGUCACGCGGGGAACCCCUGUGACCCUACAGAUGAGGGCAUCUUUAUCUCCAAGGUGAGCCCCACAGGAGCUGCCGGGCGUGAUGGGCGGCUGCGUGUGGGGCUGCGGCUGCUAGAAGUGAACCAACAGAGCCUGCUGGGCCUUACCCAUGCGGAAGCAGUGCAGCUGCUGCGCAGCGUAGGCGACACCCUUACCGUGCUUGUCUGUGAUGGUUUUGACACCAGCACCACCACAGCCCUGGAGGUGUCCCCAGGUGUCAUUGCCAACCCAUUUGCAGCAGGCCUUGGCCACAGGAACAGUCUGGAAAGCAUUUCGUCCAUUGACCGGGAACUGAGUCCUGAAGGCCCAGGCAAGGAGAAAGAGUUGGCCAGUCAAGCCCUACCCUGGGAGUCUGAGUCUGCAGAGACCACGGGUCGGAAUCUAGAGCCCCUGAAGCUGGACUACCGUGCCCUGGCCGCCCUGCCCAGUGCUGGGAGUUUACAGAGAGGACCAUCUGCGACCACCGGAGGGAAGACGACUGAGGCUCCCUGUUCCCCUGGCAGUCAGCAAACAAAACCGGGGGUGAUCCAGCCAUUGGCUCAGGCCUGGCCAAGGAACUCCCCGGCCCCCAGGGGCAGAGGUGGUCCCUGUUCUCCACCCUCCCCUGAUGAACUGCCAGCCAAUGUGAAGCAGGCGUAUAGGGCCUUUGCAGCUGUGCCCACCGUGCAUCCUCCUGAGAACAGUGCUACCCAGCCUCCCCAGAGCAGCUGUCCUUCCGUGAACGACAAAAGUACUUCGAGCUGGAGGUACGGGUGCCUCAAGCAGAGGGUCCCCCAAAGCGUGUGUCCCUGGUGGGUGCUGAUGACUUGCGGAAGAUGCAAGAGGAGGAAGCUCGCAAGCUGCAGCAGAAGAGGGCACAGAUGCUUCGGGAAGAAGCAGUAACCUCAGGGCCUGACAUGGGGCUCGCCUCAGACAGGGAGUCCCCAGAUGAUCAGCAGGAGGCUGAGCAGCCCUGGGCUGUGCCAAGCCAUGCAGGGGGCUCUAGCCCAUCAUCACCCCCACCCCUGGGAGGCAACGCCCCUGUGAGGACAGCCAAAGCUGAGCGACGCCAUCAGGAACGGUUACGCAUGCAGAGCCCCGAGCUUCCUGCCCCGGAACGGGCCCUGUCUCCUGCAGAGCGACGGGCUCUAGAGGCAGAGAAGCGAGCUCUGUGGAGGGCAGCCAGAAUGAAGUCUCUGGAGCAGGAUGCUCUCCGUGCACAGAUGGUCCUUAGCAAGUCCCAGGAAGGCCGUGGCAAGAGAGGACCCUUGGAACGGCUGGCUGAGGCCCCUUCACCUGCCCCCACCCCAUCACCCACACCAUUGGAAGACUUCGGCCUCCAGACCAGUGCCUCCCCUGGACGCUUGGUAAGGAGCCUAUAUCUAAGACCCUUCCCCCAUACUGUGGCCUGAGGCAGCAGGGCUCUAGACUCCCCCAGCCUCACCUCCCUUGCACUCUGCCUUUCCCUCAUGCUGUCUUUUCAAGCCUUUGUCUGGAAAGAAGUUUGACUACAGGGCCUUCGCAGCCCUGCCCUCUUCCAGACCUGUGUAUGACAUCCAGGUACUGGAGGCCGCUUGGCCCAUCUGCACGCUCCUCCCAGCCCAUCCUUGCCUGUCCCCUGCCUGUCCAGUCCUUUCUGUGCUUCCUACUGUUUCCUGUAUGUGGGGCCUCCCUACCCACCUUGUUUUCAGCCCAGUGUACUCUGACCAAUGACCUAGGCUCUGUGAGCCUAGCCCCAGACAGCCACGCCUGCAUGGGUAAGUUCAGGCAGGUCUGGGACCUGCCCUGACCAGCCUGUCUCCCCAUCAGUCACCAGAUUUCGUGGAGGAGCUGAGGACUUUGGAAGCAUCUCCCAGUCCUGGCUCCCAGGAAGAAGAUGGAGAAGUGGCCUUGGUGCUCCUUGGCAGGCCCUCACCUGGCGCUGUGGGCCCUGAAGACAUGACGCUGUGCAGCAGCCGUCGGUCUGUGCGGCCGGGACGCCGGGGCCUGGGCCCUGUGCCCUCCUAGGGCCAGGUGCCUCCCCAGACUUAGGGUGGGAGCCUGCCAGCUUCAUCACCUCCCUUAUCCCAAGUCUGUUAGCCUUGGUGUUAGCAUUUUAAAGAGACCCCUCAGGAGUUCUGGCUUCUGAUUAACUGCCCCGUAGCCGGGAUCUCGUGGCGAGACUGUAACUAGUGAUGUUUGUACAACCAAAGACUCUAUUUUGUGGUUUAAGAAGAAUAAAGUUACCUACGUUUUAC